GUGUCCGAGGCUGAAGAGGUCGAGGCACCGGGAUGUGGCCCCGGAGGAAGCGGGUUCGAGUCCCGCCGGACACCCCA
rnacentral:tRNA from 1 species